rnacentral:rRNA from 1 species
AAUGAACCGGCGAGUUACGAUUUGUUGCAAGGUUAAGCGGAAAAAGCGGAGCCGUAGCGAAAGCGAGUCUGAAUAGGGCGCAUAAGUAACAGGUCGUAGACCCGAAACCAGGUGAUCUACCCAUGUCCAGGAUGAAGGUAAGGUAAUACUUACUGGAGGUCCGAACCCACGCACGUUGAAAAGUGCGGGGAUGAGGUGUGGGUAGCGGAGAAAUUCCAAUCGAACUUGGAGAUAGCUGGUUCUCUCCGAAAUAGCUUUAGGGCUAGCCUCGAGGUAAAGAGUCAUGGAGGUAGAGCACUGUUUGGACUAGGGGCCCUUCUCGGGUUACCGAAUUCAGAUAAACUCCGAAUGCCAUGUACUUAUACUCGGGAGUCAGACUGCGAGUGAUAAGAUCCGUAGUCGAAAGGGAAACAGCCCAGACCACCAGUUAAGGUCCCCAAAUAUAUGUUAAGUGGAAAAGGAUGUGGGGUUGCUUAGACAACCAGGAUGUUGGCUUAGAAGCAGCCACCAUUGAAAGAGUGCGUAAUAGCUCACUGGUCGAGUGACCCCGCGCCGAAAAUGUACCGGGGCUAAACAUAUUACCGAAACUGUGGAUGAACCUCUUUAGAGGUUCGUGGUAGGAGAGCGUUCUAAGGGCGGUGAAGUCAGACCGGAAGGACUGGUGGAGCGCUUAGAAGUGAGAAUGCCGGUAUGAGUAGCGAAAGAAGGGUGAGAAUCCCUUCCACCGAAUAUCUAAGGUUUCCUGAGGAAGGCUCGUCCGCUCAGGGUUAGUCGGGACCUAAGCCGAGGCCGAUAGGCGUAGGCGAUGGACAACAGGUAGAGAUUCCUGUACCAGUGCUAAUUGUUUAACCGAUGGGGUGACACAGAAGGAUAGGGAAUCGCACGAAUGGAAAUGUGCGUCCAAGCAGUGAGUGUGAGAAGUAGGCAAAUCCGCUUCUCGCGAAGCAUGAGCUGUGAUGGGGAAGGAAAUUAAGUACGGAAGUUCCUGAUUUCACGCUGUCAAGAAAAGCCUCUAGGAAGAGUAGUACUGCCCGUACCGCAAACCGACACAGGUAGAUGAGGAGAGAAUCCUAAGGUGAGCGAGAGAACUCUCGUUAAGGAACUCGGCAAAAUGACCCCGUAACUUCGGGAGAAGGGGUGCUCUAUUAGGGUGCAAGCCCGAGAGAGCCGCAGUGAAUAGGCCCAGGCGACUGUUUAGCAAAAACACAGGUCUCUGCAAAACCGUAAGGUGACGUAUAGGGGCUGACGCCUGCCCGGUGCUGGAAGGUUAAGAGGAGUGCUUAGCUUCGGCGAAGGUACGAAUUGAAGCCCCAGUAAACGGCGGCCGUAACUAUAACGGUCCUAAGGUAGCGAAAUUCCUUGUCGGGUAAGUUCCGACCCGCACGAAAGGCGCAACGAUCUGGGCACUGUCUCAACGAGAGACUCGGUGAAAUUAUAGUACCUGUGAAGAUGCAGGUUACCCGCGACAGGACGGAAAGACCCCGUGGAGCUUUACUGCAACCUGAUAUGGAAUGUUUGUACCGCUUGUACAGGAUAGGUAGGAGCCGAAGAGACGUGUGCGCUAGCAUACGAGGAGGCAAUGGUGGGAUACUACCCUGGCUGUAUGACCAUUCUAACCCGCCACGCUUAGCGCGUGGGGAGACAGUGUCAGGUGGGCAGUUUGACUGGGGCGGUCGCCUCCUAAAGAGUAACGGAGGCGCCCAAAGGUUCCCUCAGAAUGGAUGGAAAUCAUUCGCAGAGUGUAAAGGCACAAGGGAGCUUGACUGCGAGACUGACAAGUCGAGCAGGGACGAAAGUCGGGCUUAGUGAUCCGGUGGUUCCGCAUGGAAGGGCCAUCGCUCAACGGAUAAAAGCUACCCCGGGGAUAACAGGCUUAUCUCCCCCAAGAGUCCACAUCGACGGGGAGGUUUGGCACCUCGAUGUCGGCUCGUCGCAUCCUGGGGCUGUAGUCGGUCCCAAGGGUUGGGCUGUUCGCCCAUUAAAGCGGCACGCGAGCUGGGUUCAGAACGUCGUGAGACAGUUCGGUCCCUAUCCGUCGCGGGCGCAGGAAAUUUGAGAGGAGCUGUCCUUAGUACGAGAGGACCGGGAUGGACACACCGCUGGUGUACCAGUUGUUCCGCCAGGAGCAUCGCUGGGUAGCUAUGUGUGGCAGGGAUAAACGCUGAAAGCAUCUAAGCGUGAAGCCCCCCUCAAGAUGAGAUUUCCCAUUUCUUCGGAAAGUAAGAUCCCUGAAAGAUGAUCAGGUAGAUAGGUUUGGAGUGGAAGUGUAGCGAUACAUGGAGCGGACAAAUACUAAUCGAUCGAGGACUUAACCAA